AUAGUACUCUCUUCGUCUCAAAAUUCUUGUUUUAGAUUUGUCUAAAUACGGAUGUAUCUAGACAAAUCUAAGACAAGAAUUUUGGGAAGGAGGGAGUAGAAG
rnacentral:pre_miRNA from 1 species